UGGUGGACUGCUUUUUGCUACUGUUGUUUUAUUUUGUUGUUGUUGUUUUUUAAUCUCAACUAUUCUUUCACUUAUGGGGGUAAACAGAGUAAUGACAGUCAAAUUACAACACCUGCUUUGGGAUUCUGGGUAACAUGUUAUUGCGGCUGUUGUCUUCUAUUAAAGACAAAGAGAGAGCCUACCUUGACCUCUUGAAUGAUUUUCGUUGCCAAGAUGAGAAGGAUCAGCAGACACAGUCUACCUGAAGAGCUACACAAAACAGCAAAGAAGUAUGUUGUGAAGUAUUGGAGAAUAUUCAAGGAAGCAGAUGAAAGGAGAAGACUCCUUCUCAACUAUUUCCACUAGGAUAGUUCUAAAGUGCUUCACUAUUUAAAGAAGACUUUUUCUGAUAGAGAUAGAUGAAGUGACAGAGAGAAGGUAAAGUACCACAGCACUGAAGUUUCCCCCAAUGCAGUGAGAGCCAGGUUCAAAACUGGGUCACACACCCAGCAAAACAGACACCUUACCAGGUAAAAUCUUGCUGAAAAAGACGAGAGCAUUCCACAGCUAUCAACGGUGAAGUCUAGUGAAUCCUUUGUUGAUUUACACCAGAAACAGAAAAGAAAAUUUCAGUGGAGGCAAGUCCAUUUCCACCAAAUAAAAAGCAACUUUUCCAGAGUCGUUUCAAAGAGGUGAGCAGUUAACCUACAAUGUAUGCAGAUAUCUUCAGCUCUAUGUCCUCAAGAAAAUUUCUCAUUAUAUUUUUCACUCCAGACCAUCACAAUCCUUGCUUCUUCUCUGACACAUGGCUAUGAAGAACAAGAGCAAGGCAUUCAGUUUGCACCCAGGUACUCCUACUGAAAAACUUUGCUUUGUCACGGCACUAAGAGAAGAAGUUAGAUAAUCCUGUUUAGGAGAAUUACAAACAAGGAACAGAAACUUUCAACUUUUUUUUAUUUUUAACUUAGGUUGGAAUCUCAUGACCCAAGAUUUUGCAAGUCCUGAAGGAAAGUCAUCUCAGGCAACGAAGAGUCUUAUGAUACAUUCCCCUGCAAUCACUUAAUUGUUAAUCCUCUGAUUCAUAAAGGAAGAGAAGGAUACCAGUAAAUACAAUUUUAGAAUUCAAAGAAGAAAUACGUAUCACCUGAUAAUUCAUCAUCCAUUGUUUUCUAAUCUUAUAAAUUGAGAUCAUCUUUCCAAACUAAUACUUCUCUCUUUUCUAUGUAUAUACACCCUCUAGGCUGUGAGUUAUACUUCUGUAUAAGUCCAACUCCUGGCACAAAAACUGGCACAGAUGAGGUGCUUGGUUAAGUAUUUGUUCAAUAAAGUGCCAGAUACAUCUUGAUCUUUACAAAGGAUGUACCUAUGGAUAAAUUCAUUUUUUAUUAUUCAGUAAUAAAUUAUGCAUAGUAAACAGUUCUAGAUAACUCUCCUCAUGUCUAAGUAGGUAAUGCACCAAGUUACCUGUUCCUAUCCCAGCUAAUUUGAGAUUUCUUUCACCUCUGCUCUCUCCAUUUUUUUUUUUUUUUGGCUGGGGGUUGGAGGGAUACAGAGAAUGACUGAGUAUCACCCAUCCAUCAAUCAUUGUUUUGGCAUGAAUGAAGUCAUAUGUAUCAGAACUAAGGGAGAGUGCAAGAAAGUUCAUCUAGUAUGACUGACUUCUGCCCACCACAAGCAUGACCCUGGUUCAAACCCUAACACCACAUGAGAAGGCCACACCAAGGGAAGCACUGAUGCUGUGGUGACUAUUGCGUCUCUUUAGCUCUCUGUCUGAAAUGAAAAGAAUCAAAAGCUGGCCCACACGUUAUGAAGUCCUAUAUGCUCAAGACCUUGCCUCUACAAUAGGAAAAAAAGAGAUAUGAACUAAACAGAAAAGGUAAAAAUAAUCAGUUAACUCUUUCUAUGUACACUUCAAAUUCUGCUG